AUUAAUUAAUUCUUUAUUAAUACAAAUAUUAAAGGGGUCAUAUGACUCUUUGGAGUGUUACAAGCUGGUCAUGAAUAGAUCCCUAAAGUUGCAAGUCUCAAACUCCUAAAAUGUCUCGUUCUAACAUCUCCCACAUGUCUACAUCAUGAUGUGGGAAGAUUUGCAUAACACCGCCCAAAUGUUCACACAAAGAAAGGUGGCGUAACUUUGAGUCUCGCUGUAGUAUUGCUGUGGCCUCCAUGUUGUGGAGACUCUUGUAGAGAAACUGUUAGAGCUUGUUGUUUGUUGUUUCUCCGAUAACAAAUACAGACACUGUAUUAUGUUUAUGCAGCACAAUGCAACGCAAUGUGUAAAAAGACAGUAUAAGUCUUUAUAAUCAGUAAUUAUGUCCCCACUGGAUACAAAAAAUGCCUCAUUUAUAAUGGGUUUUAUUGGUUUUGUCUCGUUGUGCGAGGGGAUACACAUCAUCACGUCACACUCUUGAGGUAUUCGGCCAAUCACAAUGCACUGGAUAGCUGGCCAAUCAGAGCACACCUCGCUUUUCAGACCGAUGAGUUUUGUAAAAAUCGACACGUUUCAGAAAGGCGGGGCAUAGAGGAGAAACAAUAAUGUACAGAAUGUGGAAUAUAAUGGUUUU